AGGUCGGUUAUUAUUUACGAAAUAAUAAUAAAAAAACUCUCUCUCUUUCUUUCAUCAAUUUUUCAAUAUGUUUCAUCUCUUCCUCACUUUAUUUUUUUAACCUAAAAAAAAGUCCCAUUUCUUUUUAGAUCUCAUCUCUUUCUCUCUUUCUCACCAUAUGAUUCUAACCUUAAGGAAAAAUCUGUUUGUCUUCAUGCUUCCCUUGCAGGUGGUCCUUUGUCGAGCCAAACGAUAUAGCCAACAACAAAACGAUGUCUUUUUUUUUUGUAGAGAAAAUCAGAACACUGCGGGUCUAUCUUGUCUUGCCUUAGCUUGCACAUUUAGACACUUACCAUUAUUUAAUGUGUUCUUUUCUUUUAUUUUUCACAUUUGUAAGUGGAUUUAUUUGUCAAAAUUUAUUUUAACUUUUGGGAAUACUUUGUUUGAAAUGUAAUUUUAUUUUAUUAUUUUUU